CAUUACAGGCGUUUAGCAGACACUCUUAUCCAGAGUGACUAACACAACUUUACACAUCGCAUUUACACUGCAUCCAUUUAUACAGCUGGAUAUAUACUGAAGCAAUGCAGGUUAAGUACCUUGCUCAAGGGUACAACGGCAGUGUCCUAACCAGGAAUCAAACCUGUGACCUUUAGGUUACAAGCCCAGUUCCAGAAGGCCGUAAAAUGGCAGUUUGACCAAUCAGAUCAUCUUGUGUCCGUUCUGUUACUCCUGCACCCUCCUGGUCUAGAUCACUGCUCACGACACAGUCUCGACAAAUCAGUGAUCGUGCGAAUGUUGGUUCAUUUUUAAAUGGAAUCCGCUUUGAAUUUAACUUGAAAAUUAAGAAAAUUGUAAUUGUAAUCUUGAUCGGAAUAGAUUAUAUUGAUAAAAUAUAUCUGAAUAAUUGUUGUAAUUUAAAAUGUAAAAUGCUUUAUUUUUGAACUGUUUGACAACAAUGAAUAAAAUGUUUAAUUUUA